rnacentral:rRNA from 1 species
AUGUUGCCAUCACACGCCAUCCGCUGGAGCAUGGAUGCGGGCACUCUGAAUGGCAGUCCAGAUGCAGAGGAACUGACUCCCACGAGUUUAAAAAAUGGGCUUCUUCAGGCAUCACCUUCAUCCAUCCCCUUCUGCUGCCUCUGCCCGAUGUCGACGACGGUGCAGGAGCCGCCGCACGUCCUGGCCGUGGACGACAGCCUUGUCGACCGCGUCGUCAUCUCCAGGCUCCUCCGCAGCUCCAAGUACAGAGUGACGACGGUGGACAGCGGGAAGAAGGCGCUGGAGGUGCUGAGCCUGGGCCACGAGAGCGUGCAGCUGAUCAUCACGGACUACUGCAUGCCGGAGAUGACCGGCUACGACCUGCUCAAGCGGGUCAAGGAGUCGGCGGAGCUGCGCGGCAUCCCGGUGGUGAUCAUGUCGUCGGAGAACUCCCCCACCAGGAUCCGCCGGUGCCUCGACGAGGGCGCGGAGGAGUUCCUCAUCAAGCCCGUGCGCCCCUCGGACGUCUCCCGCCUCUGCAGCCGUGCCAUCGCCGCCAUGCCCAUGCGGUAG